GCCCGAGCUGUUUCUUCGGCCGCUCCCGUCACAAAAAAAGCGGCAAAAAAUAAAAAACCAAAACUUCGUCGUCCCGGCCGCGACUCCGGUCGCCACGGAAACCUCUCAUCCUCCGGCGGUUGGCGGCGCGGGAGCGUGCGGAUGCGCGUGCGCGCCCUCCGCUGUUUUGCCGUGGAGAUGCGACGAGCGAGCUGGCGGGUAGAGGUGCUCCGUGAAGGGAAGCGAUGACCCCCCGCUCAACAAACGACCUACCGAACGACCGAUCCGAUGUCUUUGUUGAUGAUGGGUCUUCUGACGGGUGGCGGUGUUUGUCCAACAGUGCCUUGUCUGCGUUCCCGGCCCCUUGGUAUGUGUCUGACCAGCUUAUUGUUGUUGUGACUGUCCUCAGGAGAGAGGUGGGUGCGAGUCCUUUGCUAGCUACGUUGUUGUCAUCGUUGUUGUUGUUGUUGUGAAGGCUUGCAGGUCAGAGGGGUGCACAUUACCUACCGUAAGUGGGCUUCGGUUCAUCGCCUGACAGCUUUGAGAUUUUUGAGCAGUUUUGUUCCAAGCACUGGGGUGUGCGGAUAUAAUGCUGUGAUUACUUCUCUCUCUCGAUGCACACGAUAAGCUGCUGUUUUGCCUCUGGCUUCGUUCAGCUUUGCUUCUGUGAGGUUGAUUCUUGCUCUGAUCUUCUGUCUCCUUCCUGACUCCGAGCCUCUAUCGGACCGCUGGCUUCGCCGUUGUUGUGUGAUAACUUGGGCAGAGUUGUAUGAAUUCGUUUUCCAGAGUCUGCGGGCGUGUAGAGGCAAGUCACCUCCCAGCCCCUAGUUCUUUGUGUCUGGUAAUGUAUCUGCUGCAAAAACAAAUCACACAUAUUUGCAUGAGUAAAUCUUGUCGUUGUUGUUGCUGCCGCUGCGACCGUUUGUGCCGAGUUGUUGAGAAACGAGCAAGCGGAAACGAUCGCUGCAGCCAUUCUCCGAUCGAUCCGCUCUGCCAUAUGUUUGUUUUUGUUGUUAAAGUAAUUUGCCAUUCUAUUUUUUCUCCCGGUUUUGGCGUUGGCUCUUGCACCGUCGCGUGUGCGAGCGAGGGAGGCUUUCGGUUGCCGCUUUGCUGGGGCCGUUGGUUGGUGGCGGCGGCAUCAUCGUGCGCUGCACCGCUGAGUGUUCGGUUGUUCCCUGACGCUGGACUGUGUGCGUGUAGAGUUUUGAGGCCGUGGGACAGAGGGGGGGGGAUUAGGAGCAUUUUUUUGAGGAGUGGUUGCCGCAGGUAAGCCCAGAGACACUGGGUUUUCUCAUUCGUGUCGAGUGUCCGGGUGCGUGUGUGUACCUGCGCGCGCGUUUCAACGUAUACGAUGCGCGAUUGUUCGUGGUGACAGUUUUGUCUGUGCGAGUGCGUGCGUGCCGCUCAUGAUUCAACGUAUACGUUACGUGAUUGUUCAUGGUGACAGUUUUGUCUGUGCGAGUGCGUGUGUUUGUGCGCGCGUGUGUGUACGUGCGCCCGUGUGCGUGUCCCCGUGUGUGUGUGUGUAUGCGUGCCCAGCAGGAGUACUCGGAGAGUGCAAAGCACGUGAAUGCUUGUGCUGUUCUGUAAUGCGGAUGACGGUGCAAUCGAUCGAGGGCAUCCGUGGCAAGGGGCUCCGCCGGACUCCGGCUUCGCGAUCGCACAGAGUCACCGGCGCUGCUCCGCCGCCAAAGACCGCCCGGGAAGCCGACGCUGUUGCCGCUCGUUCGGAAACCCGUCCCAGCGCCAAAAGCCUGAAUUUCACUGCGAGGCUCGGCGCCAGAAAACCUUGACCCCCCUCCUGGGGGUUGGGGGUCGGGGGAGGGGGCUUGCGUGGAGAGAUGCCACCGUUCCCCAGCCCGCCGCUGUCAGGCGAAGGACAACCUAUACUUGCCAACUCCAAAAACUACCCUGCUGUGAAAUGCGAGAUGAACCAAAAACACCCACCGGACAACAGUCUUCCCACUCGCCGCCCUCCUCCCCCUCCUCCCGCUACCUCUCAAGACAAUUACAACGCAAAUCCACGAACCCUCACGAGCAGGCGGUGUCUUCCUUCCACAGCUGUUCAUUCUCAUUGCUCCCUUCCCAAAAACAGUUUGGCAAACGACAAAACAAAAACUGCCGCAGCGAGGAUAUCAAAACGGCCGUGACCUCGGCGGCUGCUGCUCCGAGCGUGACGCCACCGCAGCCCACUCGGGCUCUGCGUCGAUUGCGGCCAGAGAGGUCGCGUAGUGGCGGGCGGGCGGGCGCACGUUUGCCGGCCUGCGGCUUUUGCCGAUGUUUCUCGGCGCACACGAGGUCGGGGCCACUCUGAGGGUGGUUGUCACGGUUGCGUGCGAGGUUAUGAGGGUCCUCUCCUGCCUUUGCGUGGGUCAGGACACUUCAGAGUCGAUUCAAAAGAAGUUGCGUCGGCCGUGCUCCGUGUUUUGUGCAAGGGUUGGUGGGCUUUCUGGAAAAUCUUGAUUCUAGUACAUUGUGACUGGAGCGUCGCUCGAAAAUUAAUCGAGGCCUGCCCGCGGCGUGUUCCUGCGUGCCAACCGCAGCGAUGCAAAUAAGACGGUGUCCCUCUGCAUGGUGGAAGAGAAGUCGGGCGGCCCAACCGUAGCCUCUAAUCCAAGGUUUUGGCUCGCUAGCGUUCGUUGAUAAUUGUUUGCACUGUAGCCUCACUACCAACAGCGUCUUCUAAUGUGCCGCAUUUCGGUCGGUCGUUUGACACGAGCGAUUUUAAGCGACGAAGUUUGUUGAUGGUGGUGGUUUGGAAAGAAGGUCAGCAAUAGCUCUAGGACUCCCAGGGCGUGGCACGGUUUGCAUAACGGGAGAUUAUAUAUUUAGUUGUGAAAACACAUUCGGUUUGAAUUUUUGUGGUAGCGUCAGUUGCAAGUGACGUGGGCAGGAGUUGACGUGGCGUGGCCAGCGGGUGCUUUCCCACGCCAAAGCGGCGCUUGCGUCUUUACAAAGCUGAGAUCUCUUUUUUUGUGUGUCACAUGUGACGCGAGAGCCGUGGAUUAUUUAAUUUCUGCUGCCGGAGCGGAGCGGGUGCUGCACGCAUUGCGUGACGACGGCGUUCCUGUCUGGCGCUCGCUCGUCACGCCGCGUAAACAAGUGGCUCCUUCUCACGCGAGGCUGACCGCUCUUGCCCCCCCCCUCCGACUCCCUCAGCCAUCACCCCCCCCCAUCCCAAACAGAUGUCUUCCCUAGCCCAGUCUUUCUGUGACGAGUGCCACUUCUGUUUUUGUUCGUGUUCUUUUCCCACCCAAGAGGCACAGUGAAUUUCCAUUGGCGUCGCUGCAUGUGGGUGCAGAGGAAGUACCAAGACAGAACGAUGCCAACCCCCCCCCAGCCCCCCCCCCCCAAAUAAUUAACUCGAUGGCUGUGUAAUUGGCACUUUUGGCUUCACUCUCACACUUCCCUGCCAACUCGCUCUUCUCUAGCCGAGUCUGUGCUCGGUCGUGCGUGAGCGGCCAGCUCAAAAAAACUCGUGGCCUCGAGAGUUGGGGCAAAAAUCUUGCCCUGCCGGCCGCCCCCAAAGCUCACAGACUGUCCCGAGCGGUCGCGACGCACGGGGAAGUUUCAGGGCGGUCGCUGCCGGCAAAGUCGUCGCACCGUUUUUCUUUUUUUGUAAAAUAAAAAGAAUCAAUCCAAGUCGACCAAAUGUGCGCAAAUAUGGUCACUUGCUCCCCCUGGCGUAAUUCUAGUGGACAACAGGUCAUGGCAACGUCCAAUCGGAUCGCACGGCGGUCAUGGCUGCCCAAGUCUGUGCGUCCCGUGGACCAAUCGUUGCUCAUCAGACUCGCUUGUUUUUAACCAACUCUCGUUUUCAUUGGCCAGAGAGAACCACGUCACUCCAAGCUGUUACCACGGUGAUGCCCGCCAAUCCGGUUGCCCCUAAAACUGCCCCCCCCCCCCCCGGGUGCAUUGCCGUGUUUUGAACACGGGAAGUGAGGAGAGCCGGUGCAUGCAGCCAGCAGAGAGUUGUCGGGGUGCAUCUCGGAGUCUCUUAGCAGCCGACCUUCACCCCGGGAGUCCAACCUCAACCCAAAGCUCAUUUCUUUUGAACCGCUUUGUAUUUCGUUUGUUGUCCUUAUCCCUCCCCCUCCUCUCCACCGCCCGCACCUCCGAUAGCACGGUUACAUAUGGUGCGAAAGAAGUUCAACAUACAUAUGUACGAAGCAUUGUGGUGGUUGGGGAGGGGGGUGCUAAAAUAGACAUUGUGCGGUUAUUAAGAAUGAUUGGUUGGUAUGGUCUUAGUGAAGUGGUGGCCAGACCCUGGGUUCAAUCAUCGCAAUCGUAGUUUAGCGCCCUGAGAGCUGUUGUUUAAGGGCGCUUUAUACAUUCGUAUUAUUAUUGUUAAUUGCAUGAUAUGUGAUGGUUUGCGAUUAUAAUUUCAGCUGACGGUGCUGCUGCUGCUGUGAUUAUGAUUUUUGUCGAUCACAGCUGCGAGCGUUGGCACUGGUUGGUGUAGAUUUGUAACGAUAGACAGCUCCCCUCAACCCCCCCCCAUCACCACCGUGUGUUGCUUGAUGAGUUGUCACAAUUCGGGGCUCGUGAUUCGAUUCCACGGUUGAGUUUCGUUUCGUUAACGGCGGUCGCGAUGGAUGAAGCGACUCUCUUCAUACCUGCGUCGGCCGCACGGGACGAACCGCAUGCGACGUACGCACGAAUCUGAAGGAAUUGAUUCUCGCACGUACGCGUCGCGAGCAUCAGGAUCUUAUUGUGAUUGCCGAUUCGAUGCCUCCUUGUUCAAUCAGAUGCCAAUUUGACCUGGCACCACGUGAACCCAGCAUAAGCAGCAUUCACCGCUAUUCAUCCCGUCCUCCCCGCCUCUUGAUUCACCGAAUUGCAAAAGAUGCGCGAUGAGAUUACGAUUUUAUCGUAUUGUUUAUAAUUGUUUUGGUUUUUUUACAUUCUCGGUACGGUGUUGGUGCGCUUGAGCGUCAGUGCGUGGCGAUGUCACUCGCUUCAAGUUGUAAAUAAUCGAUGGUCAUUCGCGGGUUUCCGUGCAGGUAUCCUGCGAGCGACAAUCUUUUUUUUUAAUCGGUACAUUGUUACAGAUGUGCUCCUCCAACAAUAUUACAUUUACUGCCCCUGCGAGACCUGCACUUUUUCACGACUUAACACGCAUUAGAACUGCCUGUGUACACGCGCAGCCGUUCUGUCACUCCACUGCUGGAUGAGCGCCUCCCCACGCCGUGCGGGGUCGUGGUGGUAGUUUUACCGUACGUCACCGUGCUGGUCGGUGAAAGCAGGAAGCAUAGCGGUACAGUACAGCAACAGAUUUUGCCGCACCGCCCUUUGCUGCCCGGCACGUUGCGCUAACCGCUACCCGCACAGGUAUCCGGGAUGACGUCGUGUUGCUUUGAUUGGCAUUGGCACUCCCAUCGAUCUCCAACUGCACCGUGACCUUUUGGCCGAGCAGGAGAGUCCGCACUGAACCAGUGCUGCCCCCUAAUGGUAAAGCCCUCCGCGCUCAAAUGAAGACACGAUGAUAAAACGGAGCUCCGCCAUAGAUACGUAGCCAGGCUGUGUGCUUCCCUGGGCUCUCCGACAUGCAUGCACGAAGCUUGCUCGGUGAGCAAAAGGAGGCUUUCGAUUGACGGUUCGGAGUUUUCAAAUGACGUCACAGCCGUGUCGGUCCCGUACUUUGUAACGAAGCGUCGCAGCGGUGAUGUCACAUCGAUGCUCCUGACCGUAGCAGCACGUGUCUGGGUCCGCCCACGAAAUGCACACAGCCUAGGCAUGUAGCUACAAGGUAGGAGCCGCUUGUUUUUCACGGGUUGUGCCGUCCUUUAAGCUCGUACACGGAGAUGGGAUGAAAGCAACUCGUGCGCGGGGGUCCGAGACGACGCAUCGCUGCGUCGCGGGACUGUGAGAUGCCGAUGGCUUGGGGAAGCCUUAAUCCAGCAGUGGGUUGACCCUGGUUGGUGGUGGUGGUAGUGGGGAUGAUGUUUAAGUGCUGCGAUCCCAAAGGGGGAUGGUCAGUGUUUUAAUGACGUUCUUAAAACUUGCACCGACCUCAUUGCUGGUUUGGCUUGAAAGUUGAGUUGGCGAAAUCGAAAAGCUGUGCUAAAAUGCAGUCGUGUGUAUAAUUACGAUUGGGGGACGGUGCAAUUGUUUAAGAGCUAACUGUUAAAACAUUCGACCGCCCCUUCUGUGAUGGUGUUGAAUAGCAAUAAGCGGAAGCGUGUAAAUCGAUGACUCUUUCCGUGCCGUUACUUUUCGUUUUUAUACUUUGAUAACAAAAGCAGUGAGCCGCGGUUCAUAUUUAUUUUGACGCAAGCGUGCAUGUCGGGCGCAGUGCAAUUUUCCAGGCCAUUCCAGACUCUUAAACUACACAAUAAAAACGAGGUUGCCUUGAACAGGG